rnacentral:misc_RNA from 1 species
AAGAGUUUGAAGACUAGGAGACUAGUUGAUCUCUCACCCAUGAAUUCUUUACUUGUUGCUUCGGCAGUCUUUGCGGAGUGGUCGGAAACGACUACGAAGUGAGCGCUGCCAAAGUGAUAAACUACUUUGUUUUUGCAGUCUGAGAAUACAUUCAAAUUAUGAA